UAGGGAAUCUUCGGCAAUGGACGGAAGUCUGACCGAGCAACGCCGCGUGAGUGAAGAAGGUUUUCGGAUCGUAAAGCUCUGUUGUAAGAGAAGAACGGGUGUGAGAGUGGAAAGUUCACACUGUGACGGUAACUUACCAGAAAGGGACGGCUAACUACGUGCCAGCAGCCGCGGUAAUACGUAGGUCCCGAGCGUUAUCCGGAUUUAUUGGGCGUAAAGCGAGCGCAGGCGGUUAGAUAAGUCUGAAGUUAAAGGCUGUGGCUUAACCAUAGUACGCUUUGGAAACUGUUUAACUUGAGUGCAGAAGGGGAGAGUGGAAUUCCAUGUGUAGCGGUGAAAUGCGUAGAUAUAUGGAGGAACACCGGUGGCGAAAGCGGCUCUCUGGUCUGUAACUGACGCUGAGGCUCGAAAGCGUGGGGAGCAAACAGGAUUAGAUACCCUGGUAGUCCACGCCGUAAACGAUGAGUGCUAGGUGUUGGGUCCUUUCCGGGACUCAGUGCCGCAGCUAACGCAUUAAGCACUCCGCCUGGGGAGUACGACCGCAAGGUUG
rnacentral:rRNA from 1 species